ensembl:processed_transcript 4930511M06Rik RIKEN cDNA 4930511M06 gene
AAGAGGCAGGCAGUGUCCUAACAGGAGGUAUAGCACGCACAACAGCAGCUACUCAGUGAGGCUCAGAUCCUUCACCUGUGAAAGGAGCUAUAGUGUCCAUUCAACUUUAGCUCCACGUGGCCAUCUGCCCGGCUGCUCUGCGGCCUUUGGUCUCUGCGUUUGCAGUUUCUUGUCUUACUAGUUCUAGGUCUCUAGUGUAGAAGUUAAGAACGCUUAGCUUUCCUUGGCUGCCAAGGCGCAGGCAGGCGACUUGGACUCUACCAGUCAGACACAUCACCUUGAGACUCCAGGGAAGGGAUUAAAGUGGUGACGUCAUUCUCCUGGUCUGUUUCGGCUUUCACUGCACAGUGAAAAGUCCUGGUUUCCUUAGCUCUGCACAGAAGAGAACUGACCCAGAGGAAACAGUUCCAACUUUUUCAACAACCCAGAGGAUGAAUGUAGAAGAAAUUGGUCUGGGAAUGAGUGAAGAACAACUGGAAGAAAAAGAAGAAAGGCUGAUCUGGCGCACGGAGAGAAAGGGUGAUGGCUUCGCAGUUCCCCAGUAAGAGCCUGAGCGAUCUGAAAGUCACCCACACGCACUGCACAGUUUACUUUCUUCCUUUGCUUUGAAUCACAAACCAGUUCUGCCACUGGAACCCUUGACAUCUCAGAAGGACAUGUUGCACUUUAACAAAGAAAAUCACUGUUAGCAACUUUCUCCAGAUUUUUGACAUGAACACUGGAGAAAACUCAGAACUCAUGUUGAAGCCAAACCUACUCUCCACAGAAGAGAAGACCCUGUGGGAUUCAGGUCAUGGUCCCCAGAGACCUACUGCAAGAAGAUGGUAAGUAGGUCUGCCCUCUGCAGGAAGAAGGCUGUUGGAAGCCGACUUUUAGCAGAAAGCUGCUAUCAUCUCUGAAGCCAUCUCGGGCUAUUUUCUUAUAGGUGGAACUUUUCCACCCUGACAAGAGACUUGUUUUCCUAGCAUGAUGGUUUUUUGUUGUUGUUGUUUGUUUUGGUUCUUUUGUUUUUUGUUUGUUUUUUAGAACAUGCCUAAAUUUAUUAUUUAAUACAAACAAACAAACAAACAAACC